GGAUAGCCUUGCCUAAUGGCCGGUUUUGGUCUGAUAAUCCAACCAAUGGCCUUGAAUUGGACCGUAGGGCACUAGUUCCCAACGGUUUUGCUCCCAGCGAUUCUGAUUUGGUUCUAGACUAGGCUGUGGAGUAGUCUUAGCUUGUUCUAGCUCUGAACUAGCCAAAAUUAUUUUUUUAAGAAAAAAUAAAUUGUGCAUUUUUACAUAAAAUUCAUUGUGCGUUUCUUGUAUACAAAGAUAACAAAAAAAUUACUGGUAUUUGUAAUUGAAUGGAAAAAAAAUUGAAGUAUAUAUUAUUAUUAUUAUUAUUA
rnacentral:misc_RNA from 1 species